CAAUGUUCAGAAUGCAUGGAACGGCUGGAGAACAACAGCUUCCCAUACCAGAGGAUAUUGAGAAACAGAAUGAAAGGAGGUAACUCCGAAGUCCUUGUUAGAUGGGCUCCCUGCACAUCAUGUGGAAUCAAGUGGAAAGACUCUUGGGAGCCAUCAUCAUUUGUUUGACUGUAAUAUUGAAGUGUAUUUGUUAGUGAUUCUACG